GACGAACGCUGGCGGCGUGCCUAAUACAUGCAAGUUGAGCGCUGAAGGUUGGUACUUGUACCAACUGGAUGAGCAACGAACGGGUGAGUAACGCGUGGGGAAUCUGCCUUUGAGCGGGGGACAACAUUUGGAAACGAAUGCUAAUACCGCAUAAAAACUUUAAACACAAGCUUUAAGUUUGAAAGAUGCAAUUGCAUCACUCAAAGAUGAUCCCGCGUUGUAUUAGCUAGUUGGUGAGGUAAAGGCUCACCAAGGCGAUGAUACAUAGCCGACCUGAGAGGGUGGUCGGCCACAUUGGGACUGCGACACGGCCCAAACUCCUACGGGAGGCAGCAGUAGGGAAUCUUCGGCAAUGGACGAAAGUCUGACCGAGCAACGCCGCGUGAGUGAAGAAGGUUUUCGGAUCGUAAAACUCUGUUGGUAGAGAAGAACGUUGGUGAGAGUGGAAAGCUCAUCAAGUGACGGUAACUACCCAGAAAGGGACGGCUAACUACGUG
rnacentral:rRNA from 1 species